AAUAGAAGCUGUUAGGUGAGGCUCCUAUGCGGAAAAUGCUACUGCUCAGAAACGUCGAGAAACGCCAAUGAGUCAGCUGUUCAGGUCAAUCGAAGGCCUGAUCUAACGUAGCUGUUAAGUGAUUAACUACGCCGUAUAGUGCUAAAACUCAACGACUAGCUAGACAC
rfam:Lactobacillus brevis ATCC 367, complete genome.